UUCAUAGUGUACAAAUAUAUC
rnacentral:piRNA from 1 species